GAUGAACGCUGGCGGCGUGCUUAACACAUGCAAGUCGAACGAAGCACUCUAUUUGAUUUUCUUCGGAAAUGAAGAUUUUGUGACUGAGUGGCGGACGGGUGAGUAACGCGUGGGUAACCUGCCUCAUACAGGGGGAUAACAGUUGGAAACGACUGCUAAUACCGCAUAAGCGCACAGGAUUGCAUGAUCCGGUGUGAAAAACUCCGGUGGUAUGAGAUGGACCCGCGUCUGAUUAGCCAGUUGGCAGGGUAACGGCCUACCAAAGCGACGAUCAGUAGCCGGCCUGAGAGGGUGACCGGCCACAUUGGGACUGAGACACGGCCCAAACUCCUACGGGAGGCAGCAGUGGGGAAUAUUGCACAAUGGGGGAAACCCUGAUGCAGCGACGCCGCGUGAGCGAAGAAGUAUUUCGGUAUGUAAAGCUCUAUCAGCAGGGAAGAAGAAUGACGGUACCUGACUAAGAAGCACCGGCUAAAUACGUGCCAGCAGCCGCGGUAAUACGUAUGGUGCAAGCGUUAUCCGGAUUUACUGGGUGUAAAGGGAGCGCAGGCGGUGCGGCAAGUCUGAUGUGAAAGCCCGGGGCUCAACCCCGGUACUGCAUUGGAAACUGUCGUACUAGAGUAUCGGAGGGGUAAGUGGAAUUCCUAGUGUAGCGGUGAAAUGCGUAGAUAUUAGGAGGAACACCAGUGGCGAAGGCGGCUUACUGGACGAUAACUGACGCUGAGGCUCGAAAGCGUGGGGAGCAAACAGG
rnacentral:rRNA from 1 species